CAAUGAUCCAACGAUCACCUUGGCCUGGUUGAGAUAAACCCUUAAUUCACCCGUUUAAAUGUGGAAAUAUGCUGGAACUACACACGCAAAAGGUCCUU